AGUGAACGCUGGCGGUAGGCCUAACACAUGCAAGUCGAACGGCAGCACAGAGGAGCUUGCUCCUUGGGUGGCGAGUGGCGGACGGGUGAGGAAUACAUCGGAAUCUACUCUGUCGUGGGGGAUAACGUAGGGAAACUUACGCUAAUACCGCAUACGACCUACGGGUGAAAGCAGGGGAUCUUCGGACCUUGCGCGAUUGAAUGAGCCGAUGUCGGAUUAGCUAGUUGGCGGGGUAAAGGCCCACCAAGGCGACGAUCCGUAGCUGGUCUGAGAGGAUGAUCAGCCACACUGGAACUGAGACACGGUCCAGACUCCUACGGGAGGCAGCAGUGGGGAAUAUUGGACAAUGGGCGCAAGCCUGAUCCAGCCAUACCGCGUGGGUGAAGAAGGCCUUCGGGUUGUAAAGCCCUUUUGUUGGGAAAGAAAUCCAGCCGGCUAAUACCUGGUUGGGAUGACGGUACCCAAAGAAUAAGCACCGGCUAACUUCGUGCCAGCAGCCGCGGUAAUACGAAGGGUGCAAGCGUUACUCGGAAUUACUGGGCGUAAAGCGUGCGUAGGUGGUUAUUUAAGUCCGUUGUGAAAGCCCUGGGCUCAACCUGGGAACUGCAGUGGAUACUGGAUGACUAGAAUGUGGUAGAGGGUAGCGGAAUUCCUGGUGUAGCAGUGAAAUGCGUAGAGAUCAGGAGGAACGUCCAUGGCGAAGCAGCUACCUGGACCAACAUUGACACUGAGGCACGAAAGCGUGGGGAGCAAACAGG
rnacentral:rRNA from 1 species